rnacentral:lncRNA from 1 species
UUAAACUUGCUUUCUGUUCUUCUCAGCUGUCAGAGGAUUCCUCGACUGACACAUACAGAUGGCUGCUGUCACACCUCUCUCCUACAAGCAUCUGAAGGAGCGCUACUGAUGGGCACGGACAGCCUUGGGUUAAGACUACUGACCGGACCCUCACAUCUGCCAGGGUCGCUGCCCUUCUUCCUGCCUGUUUAAAUGAAACAUGACAAUGGAACCAAUUUAAACUGCUUUUCUGUUACAUCUUAUCCUAAAGCCUUCCAUUCCAGCACGAUUCCUCAAGAACUGUUUUCACACCGUUUUCUGCCCUGCCCUACUGCCAAACUCUCAUAUUCAACCCUACCGGGAUGAAUGUGUCGUCAGUAGCGCUCGACUGCUACAGAAUGUACCAACAUCCUUAUUGGUUCUCUUGCAUGAUCGCCCCAAAAAAGUCCCAUAAAUGCCACUUUCCAUACUUUGUAGGCAGUCGGCCCCUUUUGUGAUCGGUUACCAGGUGUGAUCACAAUCCCAAAUCGUAGUUUAGAGUUUUGUGAUAUGUAGCUGUUCGAGAUCCCUAAAUGUGAGCUCUCUAAGAUGCUGCACUGCGGGCCCUGACCCUAUGGGUAUAAAAGCUGCCUUUCAACAACUUGCUGUUUGUUCGACCACAUGGAGAUCUGGGAUAUCCCACGAAGUCCAACAACUCUGUAUGUGUACUUGUGUGUAUGUGAGAAAUCGAAAGUCAAUUUCAGAUUUUCUUCUUAUAACGUAUUGUCACAGUCUUUCGAUGUUACUCUUUGUUGAAACGGGGAUCAGUUUACAGUUGGGUUACAAAUUGUACAAGUGGGAAAAAAAGUAUGGAAAAAAAAAAGUGUUGCUUGAUGCCAAAAAAAAAAGAGAGAAUCCAUUAAAACGGGCGACCGGCUCUCUUCAGUUUUUCCUUGAGGAUGAAUUAUCCAUUGUUACAGCAUAUGCUAGUAUUGGUUCUCGAUGCAAAGUUAAUAGCAUAUUUCAGAUUGAGUCUGAGUUAAGCAUCCAUUCACUUUUUACCCAUUAAUGACAUAUAUAUUGAAUGUGUCAGCUUUAUAUACCAGGCCAGUGCUCCAAAACACGCUUUCACGUCCACAUGCAUACAUUUCACUUUUGAGGAAACUGAAUGAAUCUUAUGCAUAUUGAAAAUCAUGUCUGCCCUCUAGUGGUUUGGAGGGCUUGUAAUCUUCAUUCUACUUUCUUCGCUUCUGAAUACAUUCCAUUUCUAUGUGCCAUAAUUUCAAACACUUUUUAGAUUAUAAUUGAAUUAUUUGUGACUCUAUUUGACAUAUUUAUUGUACAUUGUAAUUAUUCUCACAAAUGUUGUAUUUUUGUCAGGUAUUUCUUUCUCUUCUUAAAUUAAUCAUUAUCAGCUUGUGCCAACUGAUUUUUUAUUUUAUUAUUCUUUUAACCUGUGCAAUCCGCUGUUGAACAGAUUGAGUUUCUAUAUCCAGACCCUGUAGACCAGCAGCUCUGGGCUCUUUCUCUGAUCAGAGAUCAGUCCUAUAGACCCUCUCUUAAUAUAUGGUGUGUGUGAAUGCAACUGAAAUCUCUGUGUCCCUUUAAAAUGAAUGAACUAUUCCAUUCUUCUUUCUGCUUGUAGCCCAAAAUGGGUGUUAAAAGAGCCACUGCCUGGCAUGUUCUGUAAUCGGGCACAUUUUUGUUAUGUUUCUCCUAAAACAAUGCCAUAUGAAAGAUGCACCAUUCCUGCUUCAGCUAUCUUCAAGCGUGUAUGUGGAUUAUCCAAGGGAAAGUGGUGUGUGUUAGACCUCUGACUGUGUCAUGAUGCUAAGCAUCUUAAGCUCAGCUCCCAAUCUUGGGCCGGGCUUAAUCCAGCUGUAUCACAGCCCUGUGAUAAAUUAGCUUUCCAGAGAAAAUAUAUCAGAGCUCUAUUUACAUUUGCUUUCAGCUAGACAGGGGAGGCCAGUUGGUGUGAUGUUUCAUUGUGAACAUUAGUCCAACGUGAGCCCAUUUUUGUUUUUCUCGGUGCAUGUGUGACUACUAAUGCCACCACUGGACAGAACCCUGGUGAGCACAUACACACUCACACCAAGAUGAAGACACAUCCAUGUGUUUGUUAAGCUCAGUUUGGGAGGGGAAAACAGAACUUGCCUGCAAUGUUUGAAAUUACCAAACAGACCUUUAAAUUACUCCAGAGAUGCUAUUUUCAAAGCUUAUAAUAAUUAUUGGAUUCUCGUGUUGCCUGAAAUAUAUAUAAAUAUUUGAUUGUAUUUUUAAUGAAACUUUUUGAGCCACUUUUCAUAAAAAAAAAUAAAUAAAUAAAAAAGGCUGAAAAAGGCGGCCUG